rnacentral:rRNA from 1 species
AUGGCUCUCUCCUCCCCUCCCUCGCCCCCUCCCCGCGGGACGCCGUCGGCUUGCGGUUCCCCCUCGUCCCCGGCGUCCAAGUCAGAUUCGCUCCCCUGCUCCCUUCUCCCCUCGUGCUCCUCUCCGAGCUAUCCGCCGGCGGCGGGGCCUGAACCCCUCCCACCUGCGUUCCCCCCUCCCUGUCCGGUGGCCCUGGCAGCGCCACGGGCCAACAAGUUCUGGGCCCUUGAUUCCGACGACUCUGGCUCCAAUUCUGAUCCUGAGACUCCCCUUCCUCCUCGCUCGGCAUCGGUGGUUGGGUUGCCUCCGUUAUUGGUGGCGGGCCGUCGGCGCAAGUUUGCUCCGGGGGGUCGGGGCCGGCUGUGUGCGCUUGAUGCGGGCCCGGAUGGAUGGCGUCGUGUUGGCCGUGGGCGCCGGCGCGCCGCUCCCUGGGCGGCGGAUCCUUCUUUGGUGAGCCCGGGGGUGGACGCCAUGGCCUCACCCGUCUCAUCCUCCUCGGUGGAGAUCUGGGAUCGGGUCUUGCGUUGGUGCCCCGGUCCGUGGGCCGGGUCCCUCUGGUCGGUGACGGGCCGUGUGGGCCUGUGUCGGCCCCUUCGCUGGAUUCCACGGCUGAUUCCCCCCCCCCUCGUGUCUGAGUCUGAUGGGCCUAGGCCAACCCAGUUGAGUCCGCCUCCCCCUUCGGCCCUUUCGACAGAGCCCGGCCUGGCUGGCUCCGGCUAUUUAUGGGUCCGGAAGGGGUCGGUUCCCCCUUUUCUAGGGUUUCCUGCCUCCGCUGCUGAUCUGCGACGGCGCCGUUUCCCUAUCCGCCGCUUUGUCAGAUCCAAGCCUCCCCCUCCCCUCCUCCUCCCCUUCUCGUCGGUGGUGGCGAUGGACCGCUCCCGUGGGUCCUCCAGCGACGCUGUCUCCGGCCUCAAGCGGGGGCGGGACGGCUCUGGCGACGCCGCUGCGGAUCUGGAGUUUGAGGCGUCGCUCCGCGCCAAGCUCCAGGCUUCGCGGUCGGAGGCGGGUGCCGCUUCGCCGCGUGCGUCUGGUUCCGGGCCGGUGGCUUCUCCGUCCUUGGCGCCCGCAGCUCCGGUGCAUGUGGUCGACCCUUGGGAACAGGCGGCGCGGGGGAGCCGGGCGGGAUCUUCGGGCCCCUCCUCGUCUCCUUCCUCGCUUGCUCCCAUGGGUGGGCCGCCGCGGGCGCCGGCGGCGGGCGCCGGCGGGCCGUCCCGCUUCGUUCCUCGUGGUGGCUCUGGGGCCCCGGCCCGGCGUCCGGCUGGCCCUGCGGCGGGACGUGGUGCUGGCGCGGGUGCCGUCGGUGGUUCUUCUGGAGACGGCAUCCUCCCUCCGCCGCCUUCUCGUGGUGCGAACCGUAACUCCUCUCACUCCCAGGUUUCUAAUCCCAUCCUCACCUGCUUCGCGUGUCAUCGCCCUGGCCAUUUCCAGUCUCGGUGCGAGAACCCUCCUUUCUGUCUCAUCUGUAGGGAGGAUGGACACCUAACGGUGGACUGUCAGAGUAGGAUCAAGCCCCCCUCCUUCGUCCAUUUUGGGAUUGGCCUCCCGGGUUGCUCUUUUUUUGCCAUGGACAAGGAAGUCCCCGCAGUUGCUCCCAUUCCCUCCCUGUCCAACGUGGGUGUCAUUACUGUCCAAGACAAGCGUAUCUCUUCACAAGCCCUCUUGGAUGAACUUCAUAUGUGGGAUGAAGGGGGUUGGGACUGGCAGAUCCGGCAGCUUUCUGAUUUCGAGUUUGCGGCCACUUUCCCCUCUAAAGAGAGUCUUCGCAUGAUGUCUUCCUGUACCAGUUUCACUCUCCCUGUGAAUCAACUUGUUGUAUCGGUCAAAGCGGCUUCCAACGGAUCCAAGACCAUAUCUCCUCUGUCUGAUGUCUGGGUGCUCGUUGAUGAUGUGCCUCCCAGCUUGCGCACCGCGUCCUUCUUGAUGGCUUUUGGGGUGCUUAUCGGGAAACCUAUUGAGGUCGAUCUUGCUUCGCUGUCGGUUCUGGGUCCUGCUCGCCUUCGUGUGUGGUGUGUUGAUCCGAUCUGCAUCCGUGGUUCCGUUGAUGUCUUCCCGGCGGCUGGUGGCUUUCGUCUUCGAGUUCGGGUGGAAGGUGCUCCUGGUGCGGUCGCUCCUCCUCCCCCCCCCCUCCUCCCCCGGCCUCGGGUGACGAUGACAAGAGCCGGGAGGUCUGCGUGGGAUGGGCUUUCUCCUGCUGAGCAGGAGCUGAUGAAGGACUGUGCUCCGGCUCCAGCGGGUGGUGGGGUUCAGGGCUCGGUGCCUGGUACGGUGGCUGGUCCUGCGGCCGCGGCUGCUUCGAAGGGCACCCCCUUGUCGGGGGCGUGCUCCAACAUGCCCAUGCGCCCCACCUCCCCCUUGCUGUCCGGCAUUGAAGAUCUACCUCUAGUGGGACCUUCGGCGGCCAAGAAAAGGAAGAAGUCCUCGGUGAAGAAGUUUUCCGCGAAGAGCCAGGCCUCGGGGGACUCCAGGCAGUCGGCGGCUGGGCUCUGCCGCCGUCUGGAGGCGGACCUGGGGGCGGCUUCGGGCCCUUCUUCGGCGGCGGCUUCCCCUGGUCGGGCCCCUCCGGUCCCUGUGCGCUCUCCUGCCUCGACCGCUCGCAAGAGUGGCCGCGUCUCCAACAGUGGCGAGCGCGUGGUGGAUCGGGCGGCUCGGCGUGCGGCGGCGCGUGAUCUUCCCCCCUCAGGUUUGGAUUCACCCUCAUCUCCUUCCCCCCCUUUGGCUCAGUCUCCUGUUAGGCUUGUUUUACCCUCCCAUUCCGAUGAACAUCUCCUUUCGAUAUUAGCUGAUGUUGGGAUAUGUCUAGACACUAGCGUGGGUUCUUCCUCCUCUCUGUUGCAGUUGAUUCGUGCUAAUGAACGUGCUCAGGCUGAUAUCGCCAAGGCAAAGGAGGCCGGGACUGGGAUGGAUGCCCCUCUGGUUGUGGCCGGAGGGGAACCGGGCGAGGUUGCUAGGGGGCAGCUGUCUCCGGUGCAGAAGCGCGGGGCCGGGAAACGUGCUAAAACCUGCAAGGCUCCGUGCAGAGGGUUCUACGCUAGGGGGCGCAGAGACCAACUGAAGGACUUAAUGUGCGCUGAAAGAAUUGAUUUUAUCGGGCUUGUUGAGACUCUUAAACCCUCCUUUUCUCCUUCUGAACUAUCGGCGAUUGCUGGGAUUGAUAGAUUUAGGUGGAAUUUCGUGGCCUCUGUUGGUCAGUCCGGCGGCUUUCUUCUGGGCACCAAUAAUGUCACCUUUGAUUUUGUGGCUUUCGACCAUGGUAUAUACUGGGCUAGUAUGGUAGUUUCCCUACGUUCCAAUAACACCCUCCUUGAACUUAUGGUAGUAUAUGGUCCGGCUGAUCAUUCCUUGUCACAAAUUUUCUUGGAUGAGAUUUUUACUAAAAUUGAUGCCUGCCAACUGCCACUCCUGAUUAGGGGUGAAUUUAAUCUGCUUCGGUAUCCUUCUGAUAAGAGUUUUGUCAAUUUCUCCUGGGUGCGGGCCGAGGCUUUUAAUGCUUUCAUCAGGGACACGGCUAUCCGUGAGAUCCCGAGGGUUGGGGCCCGCUACACUUGGACCAACCGACAGACUUGUCCUAUUCGCUCGGUUCUUGAUAGAGUUUUUAUCUGCCCUGCUUGGGAUGGCCUUUUUCCUCGCUGCUCACUUCGGGCCCUCCCCAUCGUCGGGUCCGAUCACGCUCCUCUCAUCCUUGACGAUGGUCUCUGCCCCAAUGGCUGCCAAAGAUUUCAAUUUGACGCGUCCUGGCUUUUAGUGGAAGGAGGAUGGGCCAAGAACCACUUUGCUGAGUCGAGGCGCGACAAAUCUAGGUUGAGUGCUCAAAUUAGUGCCCUCGACUCCCGUGCGGACAACGGUGGGCUCUCGGCUACCGAGUGGCAAGUUCGCUAUGGCCUUGAGAAGGAGCUUCUGGCUAUUCAUCGCCAAGAGGAAGUGUAUUGGAAGCAAAGGGGUACGAUUAAUUGGACUCUUAAGGGUGAUUCUCCCACGGCUUACUUUUUCGCCAUUGCGAAUGGCAGACAGCGUAGAUGUUUGAUUAACAGCCUCAUUAUUGAUGGUGUUAGGGUCUCUGAACCGCCGGUCAUUCUCCGUCAUGUAGUUCGGUUCUUCUCUAACCUGCUUUCGGCUAAACCAGACCUCGAAUUCGCGCUAGCCCCAGGCUUCUGGGCUCCCCUUGAUAGGAUUUCUCACGCUGAUAAUGAGCUUCUGUUGAUUCCCCCUUCUGAGGAGGAAAUUUUUGAUACUGUUUCUAUCUUUGAGCUCUCGGCUAGGGGUUGGGUUCUGGAUUUUCGUCGUUCUCUUUCUCCUGAAGAGUUGGAAGAUUGGCAGCGCCUUACUGCUUGCUUCCCCCUGCUCUCGGAGGAAGAGGAUGCCGUGGUGUGGCCCCUCUCCUCUUCGGGGCUUUUUUCGGUUAAAUCUGCUUACUCCAAGCUUAUCCCUGGGGGGCGCCCGGUCAAGUUUAAGCAUGUCUGGGGACCUCCAGGCCUUCGACGCCAUGCUAUCCAAGAUGAAAUCUACGGCGUCUGGGCUUCUUCGGCUUUCUUUGAGGACGGCUUCCUGAAUGCUCUUUUGGUGUCUGGUUUAGGCUGGCCUGCGUGCCAUGUAAGGCCGCUGGCCUUGUAA